rnacentral:lncRNA from 1 species
AUGUUGGCAAAUACCAUAGAUGGCUUGGAUUUCUGGCCCUUGGCUCUCUUCAAAGCUCCAACUCUCCUUCACUCCUGGAGCCCUCCCAAAGGCACUGGCCCAGACCCUGACAAUGUUCAGCCCGGUCUUUUGUUCAAGAAGGAACAUCUGUGCCUGCCUUUGAAUAAAAGAUGGUGGCAUGCGAGUUGCCCCUUGACUGGAAGAAUCCUUGUCUUGGUGAAGAAGGCACGUAACCAAACGGCAAACAAGCCUGGGACGGUCCUUCGGCGCCGUCCGAGCACGGGCGCUCCUUCCCGUUACCGGGCUCGCUGCAUUGCUGCAUGCCCAGGAGGGGCUGACGAGGAGCAGCCCCCUGCCAUCCCCCCGCUGCCCCGGUCGGGCUGGCGCGGGCGGGCCGUGCCCAAACGACCCGCGCGUUUUCUACGGGCUCCGAGCGAGGGCAGCGGCUGCCUUCGGGCGUGGAAGCCUCUCUGCCGUCGGGCGCCGACCUGUUGCUGACUGUGGCCGCUCCCCGCGGGUCGCACCACCGGGACCCCGCGUCCCGGAGCACCGCGGUGCGCGCCGAGCCGCG